rnacentral:lncRNA from 1 species
AAUUGUGCCUACAUCUGUUCAUCUACUUUUGUAUAAACAUAUAAACACACGAAAAGAAUAUAUUCACUUUAUUCAGAAUAAAACUAUACUCAAAGUUAUGGGGCCCUAAAAAAAAAUUUUAAAGGAUACAAAAAAAUGGAAAGAUAUUCCAUGUUUAUGGAUUAGACGAAUCAAUAUUGUUAAAUGUCCAUACUACCCAAAGCAAUCUACAGAUGCAAUGCAAUCCCUAUCAAAAUAUCAAUGACAUUUUUCACAGAAAUAGAAAAAACAAUCCUAAAGUUUAUAUGGGAACACACACACACACACACACACACACACACACACACACACACAGACACACACAAGCCCAGAAUAGCCAAAGCUAUCCUGAGCAAAAAGAACAAAACUGGAGGAAUCACAUUGCCUUACUUCAAAUUAUACUACAGAGCUAUAGUAGCCAAAACAGCAUGGUAGAGUUACAAAAACAGACACAUAGACAAGUGGAACAGAAUAGAGAACCCAGAAAUAAAUCCACACAUCUACAGUGAACUCAUUUUUGACAAAGAUGUUAAGAACAUACAUCAGGGAAAGGACAGUCUCUUCAAUAAAUGGUGCUGGGAAAACUGGAUAUCCAUAUGCAGAAGAAUGAAACUACACUCCUAUCUCUUGCCACAUACAAAAAUCAAAUCAAAUGCAUUAAAGACUUAAGUCUAAAGAUUUAAAUCUAUGUUCUCAAACUAUGAAACUACUACAAGAAAACAUAGGGGGAAAUCUCCAGGAUAUUGGUCUGGGCAAAAAUUUCUUGAGUAAUACCCCACAAGCACAGGCAAUUGAAGCAAAAAUCAACAAAAGAGAUCACAUCAAGUUAAAAAAAAAAACAAACUUCUGUAUAGCAAAGGAUGCAAUCAACAAAGUGAAGAGACAACCCACAUAAUGGGUGAAAAUAUUUGCAAACUACCCAUUUGACAAGGGAUUAAUAACAAGAAUACAUAAGGAGCUCAGACAACUCUAUAGGAAAAUAACCUAAUAAUCUGAUUAAAACAGACAAAAUAUCUGAAUAGACAUUUCUCAAAAGAAGAUAUCCAAAUGUCAAAUAGGUAAAUGAAAAGGUGCUCAACAUCACUGAUCAGAGAAAUGCAAAUCAAAACUACAAUGAGAAAUCAUCUUACCACAGGUUAAAAAUGGCUUAUAUCCAAAAGACAGGCAAUAACAAAUGCUGGUGAGGAUGUGGAGAAAAGGGAACCCUUGUACACUGUUGGUGGGAUUGUAAAUUAAUACAACCACUAUGGAGGUUCAUCAAAACACUAAAAGUAGAGCUACCAUAUGAUUGAGCAAUCCCAUUGCUAGGUAUAUACUCGAAAGAAAGGAAAUCAGAAUAUCGAAGAUGUAUCUGUACUCUCAUGUUUCUUGCAGCACUAUUCACAAUAGCCAAGAUUUGGAAGCAAACUAAAUGUUCAUCAACAGCUGAAUCAAUAAAGAAAAUAUAGUACAAUUACAUAAUGGAGUGCUAUUCAGCCAUAAAAAAAUAAGAUUCCGUCAUUUGCAACAACAUGGAUGGAACUGGAGGUCAUUAUGUUAAGUGAAAUCAGUCAGGCACAGAAAGACAGACUAAAUGCUCUCACUUAUUUGUGGGAGCCAACAAUUAAAACAAUUGAACUCAUAGACGUAGAGAGUAGAAGGAUGCUUACCAGAGGCUGGGAAGCAUAAUGUGGUGGGGGGAGUGGGUAGGGCGUGGGGAAUGGAGAUGGUCAAUGGGUACAAAAAAAUUAGAAAGUGUUGGGAGCAGGCCCCCCAAAAUCUGGCCAUAAACUGUCCCUAAAAUUGACCAUAAACAAAAUCUCUGCAGCACUGUAACAUGUUCAUAAUGGCCCUAACGCCCAAGCUGGAAGGUUGUGGGUUUAUGGGAAUGAGGGCAAGGAACACCUGGCCCGCCCAGGACGGAAAACUGCUUAAAGGCGUUCUUAAGCCACAAACAAUAGCAUGAGUGAUCUGUGCCUUAAGGACAUGCUCCUGCUGCAGUUAACUAGUCCAACCUAUUCCUUUAAUUCAGCCCAUCCCUUUUCCCAUAAGGGAUACUUUUAGUUAAUUUAAUAUCUAUAGAGACAAUGCUAAUGACUGGUUUGCCAUUAAUAAAUACGUGGGUAAAUCUCUGUUCGGGGUUCUCAGCUCUGAAGGCUGUGAGACCCCUGAUUUCCUACUUCACACCUCUGUAGUUCUGUGUGUGUGUCUUUAAUUCCUCUAGCGCUGCUGGGUUAGGGUCUCCCCGACUGAGCUGGUCUCGGCAAGUGGUGUCCAUUCGUGGGGGCUCAAAUCCAGGUCGAAGGGUCGCCAGAGCAACAGUUGGAAUGGAAAACCAGCUGGAGGACACAGGAGUACUCUUAAAGCAAUCCCCGUGAUACAGCAUUACCUGAAAAGAAGAUAACCUGGGGUAGAGGUUAUGCUUGUGUUUCUCCAGGCCAAAAUCAACAGCUGAUCUGGAUACCAUCAAUACACCUGAAACCUUAGCAUAAGCCAGAUUACAGGAGGAUCCCGAGGACCCCCCAGUUGCAGCCAUGUCAAGACUGAUGCUGAGGAGGACCCCAAUUGUCACGAGCAACACCCGUCAAACACAGCCACCCACCUGGGGACAGAUCAAGAAGCUGUCACAGAUGGCGGAAGAAAACCUGAGGAAAGCGGGACAACCAGUCACAAUGAAUAAUUUAAUGGUAGCUAUGAUAGCGGUUAUCACCACUGCCAUGAGUAUUCCUUCAACAGGGGCUGACACAGAGAACAGUUAUACUUAUUGGGCAUAUUUAUCAAUCUUGGCCGGCAAUAAUGCCUGGAUGCAAUCACUCUGACACAGUUACACAUGCUUUCUGAUCUCAGUAUUUACCAUAAUAAAUCUGCUCAUAUAAUUGAGGCAUACCAUCCUCAAAAACCUUUUUGUAAACAGGAUUGGACCCAGUUAGAAAAAGAUGAACGUACUUGUUUAGGAAGAUUGCUUUGCAGAACAGACAGAGGUGCUGCACAAUGAUUCCUAUGGAAUCAUUAUUAAUUGGUACCCUAAGGGGAUGUUUAGCUUGAAUUGCACCUCUCAGUCUGCGUGCCAUGGCCACACUAUGUUCAGAUGAUCUGAACAAAACGGUCAGAUGGUAGAAAUGAUAAGAAGUAUGGCAAAAGUUCCUAUUAUCUGGAACCGUGGCGGUAUAGUGGCACCUCAACCUCAAAUGAUAUGGCCUGCUCUAGAAGCUUAACAUAAGGAUUUGUGGAAACUAUUAGAUGUUCUUAAUAAGAUCAAAAUUUGGGAAAGAAUAAAAAGGCAUCUAGAAGGACACUCUACAAACUUGUUUUUGGAUAUGGCAAAAUUAAAAGAACAAAUAUUUAAAGCAUCCCAGGCACACCUGACCUUAAUGCCAGGAACUGGAGUCCUUAAAGGAGCUGCAGACAAAUUAGCAGCUAGUAACCCAUUAGAAUGGAUAAAAACACUUGGAAGCUCUGUAUUUCAAUGAUGAUUGUGCUUUUAAUCCAUGUUGUUUGUCUUUGUAUAGUGUGCAGAUGUGGAUCCUGACUCCUGUGAGAAGUAGCUCACUGUGACAAAGCUGCCUUUGCUUUUAUCUCUUUGCAAAUCAAAGAAGGGAGACAUGUUGGGAGCAGGCCCCCCCAAAAUCUGGCCAUAAACUGUCCCCAAAACUGGCCAUAAACAAAAUCUCUGCAGCACUGUAACAUGUUCAUAAUGGCCCUUAACACCCAAGCUGGAAGGUUGUGGGUUUAUUGGAAUGAGGGCAAGGAACACCUGGCCCGCCCAGGAUGGAAAACCACUUAAAGGCAUUCUUAAGCCACACACAAUAGCAUGAGCAAUCUGUGCCUUAGGGACAUGCUCCUGCUGCAGUUAACUAACCCAACCUAUUCCUUUAAUCCGGCCCAUCCCUUCGUUUCCCAUAAGGGAUACUUUUAGUUAAUUUAACAUCUAUAGAAACAAUGCUAAUGACUGGUUUGCUGUUAAUAAAUACGUGGGUAAAUCUCUGUUCGGGGGCUCUCAGCUCUGAAGGCUGUGAGACCCCUGAUUUCCCACUCCACACCUCUAUAUUUCUGUGUGUGUGUCUUUAAUUCCUCUAGUGCCACUGGGUUAGGGUCUCCCCGACCGAGCUGGUCUUGGCAAGAAAGAAUGAGUAAGACCUAUUAUUUGCUAGCACAACAGGGUGACUAUAGUAAAAAAUAAUUUAAUUAUACAUUUUAAAAUAACUAAAAGAGUAUAAUUGGAUUUUUUGUAACAUAAAGGAUAAAUGCUUUAUCCUUUAGCAAAGAUGGAUACUCCAUUCUGAUGUGAUUAUUACGCAUUGCAUGCUUUAUCAAAAUAUCUCAUGUAACCCAUAAGUAUAUAUAUCUACUAUGUACCCACAAAAAUUAAUAUUAAACUUGUCCAGGUGACUUUGGGAAUUCCCAUCCCAUUCUCACCACUGCAAAGCCUUUAGGCAAUAGGAAAAUCCUCUAAAUCAAAACAGUAUUAAACCAUAUUCAGAUAAGCCAUUUUCUUUGAGUUGGACUUAAGAGUUUGAGACUGCCUCAUGGGAAGCAUCUCAGAGGAUGAGAUAAUGGAGAAAGACUGGUGUAGUAGUUAAGGCCAUAGGGUUUUGAGCUGAACACACUUCAGUCACAUUCUGGCCAUGCCCCUAACUUGCUGUGUGACCCAUGACAUAUUACUGAGGAUACAGCCUCUAUGUCCUUAUCUAUAAAAUCAAAAUACUAAAACCUACAUCAUAGAGAUACUUGAGGAUUAAAAGGGUUACUGUGCAAACUUGCUCUUAACACAGUCUAUACAAUUUAAUAAGCAUUCGACAAAUGAUAUCAUCAUUACAUACAAGGAUACCUCAAGACUUAGAGAGGAAGCUGAGCUUGUAACUAAAGAUGAAGAAGACCA